rnacentral:rRNA from 1 species
UGCAAGUCGAGGGGCAGCGAGGGAGUGGCAACACUUCUGUCGGCGACCGGCGCACGGGUGAGUAACGCGUAUCCAACCUGCCCACCACUUGGGGAUAGCCUUUCGAAAGAAAGAUUAAUACCCGAUGGCAUAAUUCUUCCGCAUGGUAGAACUAUUAAAGAAUUUCGGUCAUCGAUGGGGAUGCGUUCCAUUAGGUUGUUGGCGGGGUAACGGCCCACCAAGCCUUCGAUGGAUAGGGGUUCUGAGAGGAAGGUCCCCACAUUGGAACUGAGACACGGUCCAAACUCC